rnacentral:rRNA from 1 species
UACGGAGGGUGCGAGCGUUGUCCGGAAUCACUGGGCGUAAAGGGCGCGUAGGCGGUGUGUCAAGUCAGGCGUGAAAGCCCCGGGCUCAACCUGGGAACCGCGCUUGAGACUGGCACGCUCGAGUUCGGGAGAGGAUGGUGGAAUUCCCAGUGUAGAGGUGAAAUUCGUAGAUAUCGGGAGGAACACCGGUGGCGAAGGCGGCGACCUGGGUCGAGACUGACGCUGAGGCGCGAAAGCGUGGGGAGCAAACAGG